rnacentral:rRNA from 1 species
UACGUAGGGUGCGAGCGUUGUCCGGAUUUAUUGGGCGUAAAGAGCUCGUAGGCGGCUUGUUGCGUCAGCUGUGAAAACCCGCAGCUCAACUGUGGCUUGCAGCUGAUACGGCAGGCUUGAGUUCGGUAGGGAGACUGGAAUUCCUGUGUAGCGUGAAUGCGCAGAUAUCAGAGGAACACGGUGCGAAGGCGGUCUCUGGCAACAACUGACGCUGAGGAGCGAAGCGUGGGAGCGAACAGG